rnacentral:pre_miRNA from 1 species
UUAGUACUCCCUCCGUCCGGAAAUACUUGUCGUCAAAAUGAAUAAAAGGGGAUGUAUCUAGAUGUAUUUUAGUUCUACAUACAUCUCUUUUUGUCCAUUUUAAUGACAAGUAUUUUCGGACGGAGGGAGUACGUC